UGUUGCACAAAAGUAGAAUUAAGACAUCCGGGAUAAAUGACUCAGCUGAGCUCAAUGAAGCCAAAACAUGUGCGUCCAGGCUUAAUUGGUUGCACAAAGACCAAGCCAGGAUGAGCAGACACGGAUUCAUUAAGCCAGGUGAAACCAAUCCUGGAUAGGUGCGCGCUCACGGCUCACUCAAAUAGACCCCGCCACAGAUAACAGAUUAACUGAUUUACCAUGGCAACUAGAGCCGCGUACUUUUCCCCGUCGGAAGCACAAAUCCUCAUGGAGGCAUACGAGGAGGUAAAAGAUAUAAUUAAGAAGAAAGGCAACACCGCCACAGUGAUAAAGCAAAGAGAAAAAGCGUGGCAAAGUAUUGCAGACCGCCUGAAUGCGUAAGUAGUGCACAAUUACACACUCACCGCUCCGCUGAAACAUCACAAUUACAAUUCAAAUAUUUAAUUCACAUCUCCAAAAAUGCAUUGUACUGUAAUUAUGAAACGGUUAAAUUUUUAAUUGAAAUGCACUGCAGAUAUGAGUGAAAUUGUGUAAAGUAACUCCAUCACACUGUAUAAAGCUAUGAUACAUUUUUUGAUAUUUUUACUGAAAACAAGACAAAAAUACCAAGUAAUUUUUUGCAGUGUGACUCCAUUAAAUGUGUGUGUGUGUGUGUGUGUGUGUAGAUUAAACAUGAACGGGCCAAAACGGACAUGGCAGCAGGUCAAAAUCAAAUACAAGAACAUUCUGCAGAAUGCAGUGAAAAAGAAUACCCACAGACAAGGCACGGGUGGUGGGUCACCAAAGGCUGACCUUACCCCAGCAGAGGACAUGGCCUUGGAGCUAAAUAAAGGCAGGCCCGUCUUAGAGGGGAUCCCUGGGGGGAAAGAGACGAGCAUAGGUUCCUCCCAAGAUGCCACCCGCUUCAUUCAAGUGCCUGGCAGCACUGUGUUCCUGUUAGAGCCACCAGCACAAGCACCAGACGAUGCUGAUCCAGGUGAAGGCCCCAGUGCAGCAGCAACAGCACAUGAUGGAGACGAUGAUGAGGAGGAGACCAUCUCUCUGGAUUCCAGAAGGCAUGAGGACCCAGAUGCUAUACAGUGGGAAAACCAGCCUGGCAACAUAGUGCGUAUUAAUAAAAGGACACCACAUCCUGCCAAAUUCCAGCUGCGCUAAUUGUAUUGUGUUCACAGAGCUCACAAGCUAUCAGAAAGUUGUAUGGCAACCACCUCCGGCGCCAAAUAGAACUGGCAGACAUAGACAUUCAGUACAAGAAGAAAAAGAUGGAAAAUCUUGCACUGGAGUCCGAAAUAAAAAAGAGGACAAUUAGGAAACUGGACCUGAAAUAAAAAAACUUGAGAGGGAGCUCCAAGAAGAUGACACAGCUCAAAAUAAAAAUUAGCAAUCAGUACAACCAAGUCAUCGUUAUAAGGCAUCGCCCUCUUUUGCCCACCCCCCCCAGCACCAGGUGUGGCCACUAGCCUAUAUGAAGGCCCAAAAUUGUGUGUUCCUUUCUGCUCUGACAAUGGCAUGCCCAUUCGUGCGAGAUGUGGUGGAUGAAGAAGCACUUGUGCUGAGGAGAGCCUUCAGGCGAGAAAGGGUCUUCAGGGACCGGUUGGACCCACUGGCCUUCCCUGAUGACCAUCUAUAUGAAAGAUACAGGUUUUCUGCAGAUGGCAUCAGGUAUCUAUGCAGACUACUGGGUCCCAGGAUUAAGCACCGCACUGCACGGAGCCAUGCACUGAGUGUGGAGCAAAUGGUUUGUGUAGCCUUGCGCUUUUUUGCUAGUGGAGCCUUCCUGUACUCAGUGGGGGAUGCUGAACAAGGCCACAAUUUGCCGCACAAUAAGGAGUGUGUGUCUGGCUAUCAAAGCAUUAGCAGAUGUCUUCAUCUCCUUCCCUGGCCACAGAAGACUCUGUGACAUCAAAGAGGAGUUCUAUAGGAUUGCAGGUUUCCCCAAUGUCAUUGGUGCAGUGGACUGCACACACAUAAGGAUAAAAGCCCCUCAGGUGCCCAUGAGGCCGAUUUUGUGAAUAGGAAAUCCUUUCACAGCAUUAAUGUUCAGAUGGUCUGCAAUGCUGACUGUGUGAUCAGCAAUGUUGUGGCAAAAUGGCCUGGCUCAGUCCAUGACUCCAGAAUCUUUCGGGCCUCUGAAAUCUAUCACAAGGUGAAUUCUCUGGUGUGUUGCUGGGAGACAGGGGGUAUGGCUGCCAGCCUUUUCUCCUGACACCUUUCACAGACCCCCAGGAAGCACAGCAGGCCUACAACCAUGCCCAUGCCAGGACCAGGGCCAGAGUUGAAAUGACCUUUGGCCUCCUGAAGGCACGCUUUCACUGCCUUCACAAAUUAAGGGUCAGCCCUGUUAGGGCAUGUGAUAUUACUGUGGCUUGUGCUGUCCUCCACAAUGUGGCCUGCCUGAGGAAGGAGAGGGCCCCCAGAGUGCCACCAGCCAUGGACUGGGACAAUCCGGCAAUCUUCCCUGAUGACGACAGUGGUCGGCUGCUGAGGGACCAAUAUGUGUUGAAUUAUUUUAGUUAGUAUGUGUGCUUUCAAUUUUGGUUAAAUAUGUCCUGCGGUGGCAGAGGAAUUUGGGUUUUUUGGGUUCGUUUUUUGACGAAUUUGGCCUCUUAUGAUGUUUGUGCGGUAUACUGUGUGUAAUACAAGGCUGCAGGGAGGCUACUGCAUCCAUUCAUUUGUCUGUUCAGUUGAUGUGUAUGGAUUUGUCCUGCAUUUAUUUUAGUGUGCAGACAUGCAGGGUGUGUUAUAUACAGACCUUUGAAUGUGUAUGUAUCAUUUUGUAUAAUAUGCUUGGAUUCUGUGCUUUCCAUCUUGUAGAGUCACUGUGACUUCAGUUUCGAAAGGAGCUGAUGGUUUACCUGCUUUGUUUUGUCCUUAUUCAAUAAAGGAACAUAAUGUUA